rnacentral:tRNA from 1 species
ACUUAGAUAGCUUAAUUAAUAGAGCAGGAUAUUGAAGAUAUCUCGGUGACUUUUGAGUCUUUAAGUA